rnacentral:lncRNA from 1 species
GGGAGGCUGAGGCAGAGAAUUGUUUGAACCCGGGGAGCAGAGGUUGCAGUGAGCUGUGAUCAUGCCACUACACUCUAGCCUGGGCGACAGAGUGAGACUCUAUCUCAAAAAAAAAAAAAAAAAAGAAAAAAUACUUCAAGAUAAGUGAAAAUGAAAAUAUACUAAAACUUAUGUAAGGCAGUGAAAGCAGUAUUUAGAGGGAGAUUUAUAGCUGUAAACACCUAUCACAAAAAAGAAGAAACACAUUAUGGAAAACAGUAUGAAGAUUUCUUAAAAAGUUAAAAAUAGAACUACCAGAUGAUCCAGCAAUCCCACUUCUGGGUAUAUAGCCAAAGGAAAUGAAAUCAGUAUGUUGAAGAGAUAUCUACAAUCCUAUGUUCACUGAAGCAUUAUUCACAAUAGGCAAGAUAUGGAAUCAACCUAAGUAUCCACCAGUAAAGGAAUGGAUAAAGAAAGUGUGGCAUAUUUAUAUAAUGGAAUGCUACUCAGCCAUUUAAAAGAAGGAAAUACUGUCAUUUGUAUUGGAUGAAUUUGGAGGACAUCAUGUUAAGUGAAACAAGCUAGGCACAGAAAGACAAAUACUAUAAGAUCUCAUUUAUAUGUAGAGUCUAAAAAUAAGUCAUACUCAAGAUACAGAGAGUAGAAUGUUCACUGCCAGAGGCUGGGAGGAAUGGGGAGAUGUUGGUCAAAGGGUACAAAGUUUUAGUUAGAACAGAUGAAUUAGUUCUGUGGAUCUAUUACAUAGCAUGGCAAUAUACUUAAUAUGUAUUGUAUACCGGGGAAAAUAAGAAUAUAGUUUUUUUUAACAAGAAAGAUUUCAUGCCAGGCACUGUGGCAUGUGGCUGUAAUUCCAGCUACUCCAGAGGCUGAGCUAGAAGAUCACUUCAGCCUAGAAAUUCGAUACUAUCUUGGAUAAUAAGGCAAUGCUAUCAAUAGGUAUAUGCCAACAAAUUAGAUAAAAUAGAUGAAAGGGAUACAUUCCUAGAAAGGCACAAAUUACAGAAACUGACUGAAGAAGGAAUAGAAAACUGAACAGAUGUAUAAAAAGUAAAUAGAUUAAAUUAGCCAUUUAAAAAACUCUCACAAAGAAACACCAGAUGGGUUCACUGGUGAAUUCUAUCAAUAUUUAAAGAAAAAUUACACCAAUACUUUAAGCUCUUCCAAAAAAUAGAACGGGAGGGUACGCUUCUCAAUUCAUUCUAUGAGGUCAGUAUUACCCUGAUAACCAUAAUCAAAGACAUCACAAAGAAAGAAAACUACAAACCAAUAGCCUUUAUGAAUAUGCAGUUGACCCUUGACCAACAUGGGUUUGAACUGUGCAGGUCCACUUAUAGGCAGAUUUUCUUCCACCUCUGCCACCCCUGAGACAGCAAGGCCAACCCCUUCUCUUCCUCUUUCUCCCCAGCCUACUCAACAUGAAGAUGACAAAGACCUUUAUGAUUAUCUAUUUGUACUUAAUAAAUAAUAAAUCCAUUUUCUCUGCCAUAUGACUUUCUUAAUAACAUUUUCUUUGCUCUAGCUUACUUUAUUGUAAGAAUAUAGUAUAUAAUACAUAUAACAUACAAAAUAUGUGUCAAUCAACUGUUUAUGUUAUCAGUAAGGCUUCUGGUUAACAGUACACUAUUAGUAGUUAAGUUUUUAAAUUUUUUACUCAAGUAAAUCUAGCCACAGUUAAGUUUUGAGGGGGUCAAAAGUUAUACAUGGAUUUUCAACAGUGUGGGGGUUUGGCAUCCCAACCCCCAAGUUUUUCAAGUGUCAGGUAUAGAUGCAACCAUCCUCAAUAAAAUACUAGCACACUGAGGCCAGGCGUGGUGGCUCAUGCCUGUAAUGCCAGCACUUUGGGAGGCUGAAGCAGGUGGAUCACCUGAGGUUAGGAGUUCAAGACCAGCCUAGCCAAGAUGGUGAAACCCCAUCUCUACUAAAAAUACAAAAAUUAGCUGGGCAUGGUGGUGGGUGCCUGUAAUCCCAGCUACUAGGGAGGCUAAGGCAGGGAGUUGCUUGAAUCCAAGAGGCAGAGUGAGCCAAGAUCGUGCCACUGCACUUCAACCUGGGCAACAGAGUGAGACUCCAUCUCAAAAAAAAAAAAAAAAUACUAGCACACUGACUGAAUCUAACAGCAUAAAAAAAGGAUUAUACACCAAGACCAGGUGGGAUUUAUCCCAGGAAUGCAAGGUUGGUUCAACAUCCAAAAGCAAUCAAUGUAACACCCCAUAUUGAUCAUGUAAAAGACAAAAACACAUGAUUAUCUCAGAUGAAGAAAAAAAAGUGACAAAAUCCAACACCUUUUCAUGAUUAAAAAAAAGCACUCAACAAAGCAGGAUAAAAUGGGAACUUCCUCAAUCUGAUAAACAGUAUCUACAAAAAACCCACAGCUAACAUCAUACUUAAUGGUUAAAAACUGAAAGUUUUUCCCAUAACAUCAAGAACUAGAUAAAAAUGUCACUCUCACCAUUUACUUUCAAGGUUGUACUGGAUUUGCUAGCCAGGGCAAUUAGGCAAGAAAAAGAAAUAAAGGGAAUCUAAUUUGGAAAGGAAAAAGUAAAACUAUCUCUUUAUGAUAUGAUCUUAUAUUUAGAAAGUCCUAAGGAAUCUACAACUAAGCCAUUAGAACUAAUAAACAAGUUCAGCAGUGUUGCAGGAAAAAAAUAUGAAAGUCAUUUGUAUUUCUGUACACUAGUGAAGAACAAACCAAAAAUGGCACAGGCCUGUAGUCUCAGCUACUUGGCAGGCUGAGGUCAGAGAAUAGCUUGAGCCCAGGAAUUUGAGACCAGCUGGGCAAUAUAGCAAGAACCCAUCUCUAAAAUAAAAUAAAAUAAAAUAAAAUAAAAUAAAAUAAAAUAAAAUAAAAUAAAACGACAGUGUGGUAAUGGCAUAAGGAUAGACAUAUAGUGCAAUGGAACAGAAUUGGGCGCCCAGAAACAAAUCUUCACAUUCAUGGUCAAAUGAAUUUUGGCAAGGGUGCCUAGACACUUCAAUGGAGGAAAGAAUUGUCUUUUCAACAACUGAUGCCAAGACAACUGAAUACUGUAUUCACAUUAAAAAAAAUACAAAGCUGGAUCCUCUACCUCACAUCAUAUACAAAAAUUAAUUCCAAUGGAUCACAGACAUGAAUGUAAGAGCUAAAGCUAUAAAACUCUUAGAAGAAAACAUACAUCUAAAUCUUCAUGACCUUAUAUUAGGCAUUGGUGUCUUAUAUGGGACAAUAAAAUACAAGCAACAACAGAAAAAAACAGACCAAUUUAACAUCAUUAAAAUUAAAAACUGUUGUGCUUCAAAGGACACCAUCAAGAAAGUAAAAAGAUAGUCUGCAGAAUGGGAGAAAAUUUUGCAACUUAUAUAUCUGAUAAGGGAUUUGAAUCUAGAGUACAUAAAGAACUCUUGCAACUCAACAGUAAAAGGACAAAUAACCCAACUUAAAAGUAGGCAAAGGAUUUGAUUAGACAUUUCUCCUAAGAAGACAAGCAAAUGGCUAAUAAGUACAUGAAAAAAUGCUCACAAUAGGCCGGGUGCAGUGCUCACGCCUGUAAUCCCAGCACUUUGGGAGGCCAAGGUGGGCGGAUCAUGAGGUAAGGAGUUUGAGACCAGCCUGGCCAAUAUGGUGACACCCCAUCUCUACUAAAAGUACAAAAAUUAGCCAGGUGUGGUGGCGGACGCCUGCAGUCCCAGCUAUUUGGGAGGCUGAGGCAGAAGAAUCGCUUGAACCCAGGAGGCAGAGGUUGCAGUGAACCGAGAUCACGCCACUGCACUCCAGCCUAGGAAACAGAGUGAGACUCUGUCUCAAAAAAAAAAAAAAUGCUCAAAAUAAUUAGCCAUUAAGACAAUGCAAACCAAAACCACAAUGGGAUACCAAUUUACACCAAAUAAAGUGACUAUAAUAAAAAAGACAGAUAAUAACAGAUGUUGGUGCAGAUAUAAAGAUAUUGGAACCUGUAUACAUUGCCGGUGGGAAUGUAAAAGUUGAAGCUGGAAAGGUUUGGGGGAAAUGAGGAGUGGCUGCUAAUAGGUAUAGUUUUCUUCUUUGGGGAUGAUGAAAAUGUUCUAAAAUUGAUUGUGAUGGUUGCACAACUCUAUGAAUAUAUUAAAACUUUU